rnacentral:tRNA from 1 species
AUUUGGGUAGCUUAAAUUUAAAGCUUAAUAUUGAAGCUAUUAUGAUAAGGAAUCUUCUCAAAUA